CAUUAUUCUUUAUUCGUUCCUCUAGGUCUAGCUAAUUUCGUCAGGCUUCUCCGUUUCAAUUCUUGUUCCUGCGAUUAUUGAUUCUCUCUAUUAUAUUCUACUUUAUCGCUGUGAAAUCCGAUUGCUGUCCCGAAAAUUGUGUGGCUGCGUUUGAUGUUCCGUUUUUCUGUUUUGAUUUCUGAUCGCGUUUUUCUUCGUCCUUCAUCUGAAAAAGGACGGUACUUGUUUCUAAGAAUCUCGCGUAAGUGUAGAAGAAGGGAUUGCAUAUGAUAAUUUCCUGCCAGUCUUCGUCUCCCUGGUUUUCCUUAUGUGCGGAUGUUAGUUAUUUUUUUUUCUCAGAACGGUUGGAUUAUCUUUGAUGUGGAGGUUUUGGUUUGACCACGUUAUUUCAUUCUGAACGAGAUUGGCAUUGUUAUGACAAGUUUCAAGCGCAAUUUACUUUCGUCUGCACUUUAUAGCCUAGUUUUACGAGUUUCAACCUAUCUGCUUUUUGCGUGCGAUAUUCACUAGGAUUUAACAGUUUGAUUAUGGAGGUGAUUGCUAUGAGAAGUUUCAAGCGCAAUUUACUAUCCUUCAGGAAAUCAGGCUGCAGAUGUUAGACUCGGCUGCCAAUAUAUGGAUUCAUCAUUCAUAGUUUUUUCACUCUUUAUUCUGUCAUCAUGUUCAUCUCUCUGAGGCACCUAUCCAACAAUUAUGCCUUCCCUAUUUGCAGAAGCUGCUCAACAAUUACUCAUUCAGAUUUACCAAUUGCCGUCUUGUUUUCAAGUCAACUGCUGUUUGGUUUUUCUGAUUGAACGUCUUUAUGUCUUAUUUUGCGUUUAAAGGUUCUUUACCAUAUUUUGUUUGAUCUUCUAUUAGAUCUGUCAUCCGUUUUAUGUCUUCUCGCAGAUUGGUCAUACAUAUCCACUUGAGGUGUUGUCUCUGUGCAGUAUGUUCCUAUAUUUUUUUCUUUUUAUGUGUUCUUAUUAUGUAGCCUGUAGUUUCAGGGGAUUUAAACAUGAACUAGUUGAUUUUAAGUUAUGAUCUUAUGUUACAAUCAAUAUAUCUUAUUUUAUCUAUGUAAAGCUUUAAGCUUUUUGUGAUUUUCAUUUCACUUUUAGAGGUCGUUUAUAGGGAUUCUUUCUAACUAGGUAUAAUCAUCUCUAACUGUCUACAAUGAUCUUAUUGCUCCUUGGAAUAUAUACAUAUAUGUAUCAAAUCUUUUGAAAGGAGUGAAUCUUGAUUUAUGUUAUCUAUUUUGUCACCGUCACUAACAGUCUUUUGUCUCUUUUUCAAUUUAUAAUCUUGUUUUGAGAAAAUCUGUGAGUCUUCUUCUAUUAUUCCUUUUAAUUUCAGCAUUGAAUUCAUAUAGGACCUCAGUGUACUAUUGUUCCUCUAGUACUGAGUGAUUACUGUAAGGAUAGAUGAAGGCUGGGUACCUCGGGGUUUGGUGAUCUGACUAAUUUUCGAUCUCUUUACAGCUAUCUGACUAUUUUUUUUUAUCUCCACUGAAAUAUCUGCAUAUUGGUUUCGUUGACUUGGUCUUUUCUUGCCAAACUUCCUUUUGGAGGCUUUCUUGGUUUUCUCCCGACUUCCUGUGCUGAUCCUGCACAAGCUUUCAUCUCUUUGGAGUUUGCAUAUGCAUUAAGUUUAUUUGGGGGUCUUAAUCUCGGUUGUUUGAAAUCCCAUGUUUCAUCGUAGCUCUGCUGCCAGCAUGUUGUUGUAGUCUGUGACGGUCCAAUUAUGUCAAGUCUACAUAUUAUGCUCUGCUUCAGGAUAAAAAAUUAUUGUUGUUGCUCAUUGGGAUUUAUGUUGGUGGUUUUAUUGUGGUUAGGAACAUCUCAAGUUCACGGAAAGGAUUGUUACUCUCACAGUUGCUAUUUAUAUUUGGAUUAAUUGCUAUUUCAUCUAUAGAUUGCCAGUUGCAGUCAAAAGUUUGGUGAUAUAAGAGCUAGUUGAUCAGCAAAAUACGUGUUGGUAGUCUUGUCACUGUAGAUUAAUGACACUGAAUCUUGUGCAUACUGGUCUUUUGAUUGUCUUCUUGCUCACGCAUGGAUGUUUUGGAUGUUGAAAACUACCUGGAAGAUCGAAUAAAGCAAAAUCUUAGUCUCUGUUUUUGUUCAAACUUAUGAGUAAGGGGGGGGGGGGGGGGGUUGUGUGAUGUAAAAUGCUUCAGUUUAAAACUCUUAUGAUGAUAAAGUGAACUUGUAAAUGUGGACGUAGAAGACAAAUUCUCUCUCUCUCUGACCCACCAUCUCAUCUAUUAGGGAAUUCCUUGAAGUCUUAAUAUUUUUCUCCUCAAGUCUCACUUAUUUAUUUAUGAAAAGGAUAGUACCCCAAAGUAUUUGAUGCUGUUGUCCGCAAUAUCUGAUCCAACCUGUCCUAGUUUUGUUUCUAUUUUUUAUGGCAUUUCUGGUGGGGGCCCACUCAUUCAAAUAAGAACUGUUAGUUCGAGUAGGUCCUUGGAACAUUUUUGUUUAUCAGGUUUAUAUUUCUCUGUUUAACCUUUAGACUUGUGGUAAUUCAUUUCUACCUAACAAAAGUAACUUCACAAUCUUUGUUACAGUGUGGUCCUGUUAUUACUUCUUGGAUUUAAUUUAAUCAAUGUCACAGAUGUUACUGACUGAAGGAAGUCAAUACUCAAUAGGUGAAACAUUGAUGGGUAGGGGAAACCCCACAGUGUUAAUACUUGUUCUGGUGUUAUCUCCUUCCUGCCAGCUUUUGAUUAUUUUCAAGGUUAAUGAUAUGUCUUUUAGCCUUCUUUUCUGUUACUUGUCUUUAUAUUUUUUCCUUUGCUAAUUUAGUUUGAUUUAUUGUCAAAGAAACAUGUCAUACGUGUUAAUUUGUGCUGAUUUAAAUUAAGCUGUUUAUUUUUUUAAAUCUGUCUUGUUUUUAGUUGAUUUUAAUUUUAAUGUGGUGGACUGGACUAUGGCUCCUUCUUGCACGGGUAGAAAUAAAGAUUUCCUCAAGGUUUGGUGCAUUGUCUUCUCAUUCCAAAUACUGCUACCUGCUCUUCCUUUUGAACUUGUCUGUGGUUCUACCUUUGGCUGAUGAUCCUAAAAAAAUUGAUCACUCUUCAUCUUUGGCCAUCUGAAUCAUUUUGGUCCAUCAUUGCUUUGUUCCCAACAUGGUGUUAUACUCAGAGAAGUCUUAUUUAUUAGUAGCUCUUAAUUCUUGAUAUGACCAAUUGGGCUGUUCCCAACAUGGUGCAUCUGUUUGGAAUAUGAAUUAUUGUCACAAUAUGUCUUCAUGGUUAAAUUGAAUGUAGUGUCAUCCUGGUCUUUUUGCAUAGGACAGAAGCUGCUACUGGAGUACUAGUUUUGGUCAAGGCAUUUCUUUUUCUGGGUUUAUAGCAUUCUCAAGGUUUUUUCAGCUAAGUUGUUCUUUGUCAGAUCUUAUUUGGGAGGCAGUGGAUUUGUCACUGUUGAUUAUCUCUCCGGUGUUUCUGGUCGUCUAACCUUCUCAGAUUACAUUGGUUCAAUAUCUUUAUUUGACGUUCUGGUUUUGCAAGCUGAAAUUUUUUGCUGGAAGUUAGUAUUUCGACCGGUCGAGGACAUCACACAGUUGGUUUUUUUGUGCGGUUUUAUCCUUUCCUUUCAGCUUUUGAUUUGCAGUCCGAUUCAAGCUUUAAGUUCUUAUGCUGUCUUCACUUCCAAUGCCUUUUGAAUUUGGAACUACUGCUGCUUAUGAAAUGAGUAUAUGUGUGUUGAGAGGCCGGAUGCAAGGCCAUUUUGUGGAGUAAAUAGUUUUGAUUUACAGGACUUCUAUUCCAGUUAAUUUUGCUGUAUUAGUUUAAAGGUACUUGUGAACUUUAGUUUACCUUCCCUAAAUGAAGAAUCAUCUCAUGCUUGAAAUCAUCCUUGAUAUGUAGCUAUGGUGGAGUGUGCAAUAUAGCAUAAGGCCGAGUUUGCUAAUUUGAUCUACAUAUGUCGAGUGCUCUGGAUAUGACGCAUGUUUGAUUAGUUGAGAUCACAGUUCAUCUGGCUGGAUAGUUGACAUUUACUAUUAGAGAGGCUGUCUUUGAAAUCCUGAUCUAGAGAUGCACGUUUCUUCCCCUUGGUAGCAGUUGAGUAGUGAGGUUUAUCAUCUGGAGCUCAGUGAUCGUCCUAGCAUAAAUGGUGUCUCUUGCCCGAAGAUCAUUUUGAGUCUAUUAAUCGACACCCAAUUCAAAAUGGAGCAUCUCGAGGCGCCAUCCUCUGGUCCUUCAAAAUAUUUGGUUUUGAUUUAUCAUGUUAAAUAAAUGAAAAUUAACUAUUAAUUCCUUGAAUCUGAAUUUUAUUGACAGUUAGUUCCAUACCAUGAGUUUUUAUCAACCUGGCCUUUGAUUUCUAUUGCCAUGAAAUUGAGAAUAAUGAAUGGCGUCAA